UACGUAGGGGCCUAGCGUUGUCCGGAAUUAUUGGGCGUAAAGAGCUUGUAGGUGGUUUGUCGCGUCUGCUGUGAAAAUCCGGGGCUCAACCCCGGACUUGCAGUGGGUACGGGCAGACUAGAGUGUGGUAGGGGAGACUGGAAUUCCUGGUGUAGCGGUGGAAUGCGCAGAUAUCAGGAGGAACACCGAUGGCGAAGGCAGGUCUCUGGGCCAUUACUGACACUGAGAAGCGAAAGCAUGGGGAGCGAACAGG
rnacentral:rRNA from 1 species